CAGAUUCUGUACCACAUCCUGCCAAAGCUGUUGAUAUGGUAUCAUCUUUUCACUAGGUUGAAGGUCAAGGCCUUGACCCCCAUUCUUAUCCAUGGUUACAGCCCGAUUACCCCGGACAUCCUAUAAAGCUUUAAUAGACACAAGGCAUUAGUUACACUUAUCUUGAGACACAACAGAAAAAGCACUAAUAUGUUUCUAGAUUGACCUACUUACCAGAAGAUGAUGACCGACAGAACACAGGAGAGGUGAUCUAGAUCCACCACUCUAUUUGUUUGCUCGUUGUCAUGGGGCCACGCGCAGUGUCUGGCAGAUGAGGAGAACUCGACACAAGAUGCGGCCAUAGCAGAUCGACACGGGACUGUCUGAAGAAAAACUUUGUGUAAUCAGAUAAAUCUGAUGAUAGCGGGGACAUUCGUGCGAUGUGUGCGUGUUGGUUUCGAGACAAGGGUUUCGGGAUUCGAACAUGUGUUUGGAGUCGGUGAUUAACAUUAGACUGUGAGAACUGGGAUUUCGCUGGUUUGUAGUGAAGCCACUGCACGCCAUUAUUGUUUAUCAUGUUUAUAAUGUAGAAACUUAUGAAAAUGAUUUGAUGCUUGUUCAAGAUUAAAGAUGUAAAAUUUA